rnacentral:tRNA from 1 species
GAGCCAUUAGCUCAGUUGGUAGAGCAACUGACUUUUAAUCAGUGGGUCGAAGGUUCGAGCCCUUCACGGCUCACCA